rnacentral:rRNA from 1 species
UACGUAGGGUGCAAGCGUUGUCCGGAAUCAUUGGGCGUAAAGCGCGUGUAGGCGGCUCGCUAAGUCCGCUCUGAAAGCCCGGGGCUCAACCCCGGGAGGCGGGUGGAUACUGGCAAGCUCGAGUCCGGAAGAGGCGAGUGGAAUUCCUGGUGUAGCGGUGAAAUGCGCAGAUAUCAGGAGGAACACCAAUGGCGAAGGCAGCUCGCUGGGACGUGACUGACGCUGAGACGCGAAAGCGUGGGGAGCAAACAGG